rnacentral:lncRNA from 1 species
CUAAAUAUGUUCAUACAUACUUUAAAUCAGAUAACUGAAGUAUAAAAUUACUUUUACAGUGACACGUGGGCCCCCAACUGACCAAAAUGCAUCGAAAGUUGAAAACCUACAACUUUUGCCAAUUCAAGUCCAAAUGAAGGUUCUUGUCAAAAUCAGCUAACUAUGGAAUUUCCUAAGCCUGAAAUGUGAGGAAAGGAGGGUGGUGAGAUUAUAAAAUCCCAGUGAGUAAACAGACACCAUCUAAACUAUCUAAAGGCGAGUAAAUGGAGACGAAUUAAAAUAUCCUUUUCCAAUAUAUGUUUCAUAACAUGAAUAUUCAGUUUACUCAAUUAAUCAACAUGGCUUAUGUAUCUCACAAAACUUGGCUCCUGCCAAAAUCAUUCUCGU